AGCUCCAAGAGCGUAUAUUAAAGUUGUUGCGGUUAAAAAGCUCGUAGUUGGACUUUGGGUAGGAGCAUGGGGUCCCCGGCGGUUCGCGCCGUCGGGAUUCGGGCCGAGUGUUUCCCUCCCCGUCGCUCGGGACGUAAGCGGUGGCGAUCCGUCGCCGUGGUUCCGUAGGGUUUACUUUGAAUAAAUUAGGGUGUUCAAAGCAGGCGAAUCGCCUUGAAUACGUUAGCAUGGGAUAAUGAAAGAUGACCUUUGGUCUAUACUUUAUUGGUUUCCAAGGCCGAGGUAAUGAUCGAUAGGGACGGUCGGGGUCGCUCGUAUUCGGUGGUCAGAGGUGAAAUUCUAGGACCCACCGAGGACGAACAAAUGCGAAGGCAUUCGACAAGGACGUUUUCG
rnacentral:rRNA from 1 species